AAUUGAGAGCUUGCUUUUGAUUAUUUUAGCGGCGGACGGGUGAGUAACGUGUGGGUAACCUGCCUUUUACUGUGGAAUAAUCGUUGGAAACGACGACUAAUACCGCAUACGGUUCUUGGAAGGCAUCUUCUAAGAAAGAAAGGAUUUAUUCGGUAAAGGAUGGGCCCGCAUCUGAUUAGCUAGUUGGUGAGAUAACAGCCCACCAAGGCAACGAUCAGUAGCCGACCUGAGAGGGUGACCGGCCACAUUGGGACUGAGACACGGCCCAAACUCCUACGGGAGGCAGCAGUGGGGAAUAUUGCACAAUGGGCGAAAGCCUGAUGCAGCAACGCCGCGUGAAGGAAGACGGUUUUCGGAUUGUAAACUUCUAUCAAUAGGGAAGAAAGAAAUGACGGUACCUAAAUAAGAAGCCCCGGCCAACUACGUGCCAGCAGCCGCGGUAAUACGUAGGGGGCAAGCGUUAUCCGGAAUUACUGGGUGUAAAGGGAGAGUAGGCGGCAAGGUAAGCGAUAUGUGAAAGCCUUAAGCUUAACUUAAGGAUUGCAUAACGAACUAUCUAGCUAGAGUACAGGAGAGGAAAGCGGAAUUCCUAGUGUAGCGGUGAAAUGCGUAGAUAUUAGGAAGAACACCAGUGGCGAAGGCGGCUUUCUGGACUGAAACUGACGCUGAGGCUCGAAAGCGUGGGGAGCGAACAGGAUUAGAUACCCUGGUAGUCCACGCUGUAAACGAUGAGUGCUAGGUGUCGGG
rnacentral:rRNA from 1 species